GGUGAGUAACACGUGGGUAACCUGCCUGUAAGACUGGGAUAACUCCGGGAAACCGGGGCUAAUACCGGAUGGUUGUUUGAACCGCAUGGUUCAGACAUAAAAGGUGGCUUCGGCUACCACUUACAGAUGGACCCGCGGCGCAUUAGCUAGUUGGUGAGGUAACGGCUCACCAAGGCGACGAUGCGUAGCCGACCUGAGAGGGUGAUCGGCCACACUGGGACUGAGACACGGCCCAGACUCCUACGGGAGGCAGCAGUAGGGAAUCUUCCGCAAUGGACGAAAGUCUGACGGAGCAACGCCGCGUGAGUGAUGAAGGUUUUCGGAUCGUAAAGCUCUGUUGUUAGGGAAGAACAAGUGCCGUUCAAAUAGGGCGGCACCUUGACGGUACCUAACCAGAAAGCCACGGCUAACUACGUGCCAGCAGCCGCGGUAAUACGUAGGUGGCAAGCGUUGUCCGGAAUUAUUGGGCGUAAAGGGCUCGCAGGCGGUUUCUUAAGUCUGAUGUGAAAGCCCCCGGGCUCAACCGGGGAGGGUCAUUGGAAACUGGGGAACUUGAGUGCAGAAGAGGAGAGUGGAAUUCCACGUGUAGCGGUGAAAUGCGUAGAGAUGUGGAGGAACACCAGUGGCGAAGGCGACUCUCUGGUCUGUAACUGACGCUGAGGAGCGAAAGCGUGGGGGAGCGAACAGGAUUAGAUACCCUGGUAGUCCACGCCGUAAACGAUGAGUGCUAAGUGUUAGGGGGGUUUCCGCCCCUUAGUGCUGCAGCUAACGCAUUAAGCACUCCGCCUGGGGAGUACGGUCGCAAGACUGAAACUCAAAGGAAUUGACGGGGGCCCGCACAAGCGGUGGAGCAUGUGGUUUAAUUCGAAGCAACGCGAAGAACCUUACCAGGUCUUGACAUCCUCUGACAAUCCUAGAGAUAGGACGUCCCCUUCGGGGGCAGAGUGACAGGUGGUGCAUGGUUGUCGUCAGCUCGUGUCGUGAGAUGUUGGGUUAAGUCCCGCAACGAGCGCAACCCUUGAUCUUAGUUGCCAGCAUUCAGUUGGGCACUCUAAGGUGACUGCCGGUGACAAACCGGAGGAAGGUGGGGAUGACGUCAAAUCAUCAUGCCCCUUAUGACCUGGGCUACACACGUGCUACAAUGGACAGAACAAAGGGCAGCGAAACCGCGAGGUUAAGCCAAUCCCACAAAUCUGUUCUCAGUUCGGAUCGCAGUCUGCAACUCGACUGCGUGAAGCUGGAAUCCG
rnacentral:rRNA from 1 species